AACGAACGCUGGCGGCAGGCUUAACACAUGCAAGUCGAGCGGAGAGAGGUAGCUUGCUACUGAUCUUAGCGGCGGACGGGUGAGUAAUGCUUAGGAAUCUGCCUAUUAGUGGGGGACAACAUUUCGAAAGGAAUGCUAAUACCGCAUACGUCCUACGGGAGAAAGCAGGGGAUCUUCGGACCUUGCGCUAAUAGAUGAGCCUAAGUCGGAUUAGCUAGUUGGUGGGGUAAAGGCCUACCAAGGCGACGAUCUGUAGCGGGUCUGAGAGGAUGAUCCGCCACACUGGGACUGAGACACGGCCCAGACUCCUACGGGAGGCAGCAGUGGGGAAUAUUGGACAAUGGGCGCAAGCCUGAUCCAGCCAUGCCGCGUGUGUGAAGAAGGCCUUAUGGUUGUAAAGCACUUUAAGCGAGGAGGAGGCUACUUUAGUUAAUACCUAGAGAUAGUGGACGUUACUCGCAGAAUAAGCACCGGCUAACUCUGUGCCAGCAGCCGCAGUAACAC
rnacentral:rRNA from 1 species